rnacentral:rRNA from 1 species
UACGAAGGGGGCUAGCGUUGCUCGGAAUCACUGGGCGUAAAGCGCACGUAGGCGGCUUUUUAAGUCAGGGGUGAAAUCCUGGAGCUCAACUCCAGAACUGCCUUUGAUACUGUCGGGCUAGAGUGCAGAAGGGGCAACUGGAAUUCUCGGUGUAGCGGUGAAAUGCGUAGAUAUCGAGAGGAACACCUGCGGCGAAGGCGGGUUGCUGGGCUGACACUGACGCUGAGGCGCGAAAGCUAGGGGAGCGAACGGG